rnacentral:lncRNA from 1 species
CUGACAUAACCAACAGUUCUCCUUGUGACUGUGGAUAAAUUUCUGACGACUCUCUGUUGAGAUAGUAUCUGACGAAGUUACGACAAUGGUUGUUAAUUUAGACGUGGAAACUGAGGAAGGGCUGCAGACCGUGAUUUGGGAAGUUCCCUAUAUCCAGACCACAUUGGAUCCUGCAGCUGACGAGGAGAUGUUUUGUGCUUUCCUCAUUCUCCUGUUGGUCAUGAUGAUUGUGUUUGUGUUCAUCGUGCAUUUCGUCUACUUCUGCCAGUUCCUCCGUCGCAGGAAGUACACCAGCAUCGGCAGCAAUGUAGUGUAGACUCCUGCCUGCCCCAUAGUGCCAGCAGUGGUCGCAGCAACACCACCGGGAGCCGAGGAUGUUGUGGAGGCCAUGAGCUGUGACCCUCAGAUGUCGUCCCUGUUGUGGACGAACCAAAAUUGAAGACCUCUAAGACUGUUUUAAACAUUGCACAUUAUUUUUCAGUUUUUUAAUGUUCGUUUUUAAUCUUGGGUAACACUUAGGUUUGGUCUUUUAUUCAAUCUGACAAAAUUGAUGAAUUAGAAAAUUUCGUGGACUUUAAUUUCUUAUUUAAAUAGUUUGACCACUUGGUGAAGAUUAAACGCUUGACAAACUGAAUAGUAUAAAAAUUUGUCUUCGGUAGUAUUUCAUUAGAAAUUUUAAAGUUACUUCAAAUACGGUCUUGUGCUGUUAAAGAGCCAAGAUUCUUCCUUCACUAGUUCCCUUGAUCGUAUUUUAAAUUUAAACCUAUAUUGUUAAUUCAAAUUUUUAAAGUGGUUAGCUUUAUUUUUUUUAAAGGGCAUCCAGAAUGAAGUGCAAAUUUGGUUCAAUAUGGACUCCUGGGAUAUGACUGGAUAGACAUUCUUAAAUGUUAAACUGCUGUAUUUAAUGCUUGACUUCUUAAAAGUAAUUAACACUUGCAAUAGACUGUUACUAGAUGACCUGCUGUAUUUAAAGAUUUGACUAUGCUUGAGUAUAACUUUUAACACUUGCGUUAGACUGUUCCAUUGAUAAAUUUCAGAUUUGCGCUUCGUUUAUUUGCUAUUCUGUUUUUAGUUGCAUAAAUAAUGGUUAUUUAAAACUACAUAAUCUUGUUGCUUCAUUACUGGUAAUUUUACUUCACAAAUAUACCAGUCAUUAUUUUGCUUUAACGAACUCGUAAUCAACUGUAUCGUGUAAGCGGUGUAGUUCGCAAUAGAACAGAUGACUUGUAGCCUUAGAUCAGGUAGAGUCGAGAGACCACAUUACCAUUUUGUGUUAACUAUUUCCCUUUGUUUUAUGAAUCUUGGUUUUUAAAUAUUUUUUACUGUAUACCUUUGUUACGGAAUAACCUCAUAAGUAGCACUAAUAGAAUUUUUAAGGCUGGGCAGAAAUCCUCUGAUGUUAAAUGCCAUUUUAGCAAACCCAGACGGGUUGCUUAAUGAAAUUUGACUCUCUAUUUACAGGUUUAUAAUAAUGAAGUUAUAUUUUUUAUUAGUGCACGAAGUUUUCUUGAUUAAAAACCAUUGUCGUGAAACAUUUUUUUACACUAUUUAGACUGCUGGUGCACUCCAUCAUUGAUUGUCUGUAUUUCAAAAUGUGCCCGAGGCUGCUAGUGCUCGUAUAUAUUGGAACAAAUCAUUAUAACCUGAAUAUAUUAUAUCGAUGUAACCUGUAUUGAAGAACUGCUGGUACUGUAACCUAAAUAAAAGUGCAAU